CAACGCGAAGAACCUUACCUGGGCUUGACAUGUACGUAGUAGUGAAGGGAAACCGGAACGAGCCUUCGGGCAGCGUAGACAGGUGCUGCAUGGCUGUCGUCAGCUCGUGUCGUGAGAUGUUGGGUUAAGUCCCGCAACGAGCGCAACCCGUGUUGCUAGUUACAAGUGUCUAGCGAGACUGCCGGUAACAAGCCGGAGGAAGGUGCGGAUGAUGUCAAGUCAGCAUGGCCUAUAUGUCCAGGGCUACACACACGCUACAAUGGCUGGUACAAAGAGAAGCGAAAGGGAGACCUGAAGCGAAUCUCAUCAAAGCCAGUCAUAGUUCGGAUUGCAGGCUGCAACUCGCCUGCAUGAAGUCGGAGUUGCUAGUAACCGCAGGUCAGCAAUACUGCGGUGAAUACGUUCCCGGGCCUUGUACACAC
rnacentral:rRNA from 1 species